rnacentral:rRNA from 1 species
AACGUAGGUCACGAGCGUUGUCCGGAAUUACUGGGUGUAAAGGGAGCGCAGGCGGGAAGACAAGUUGGAAGUGAAAUCUAUGGGCUCAACCCAUAAACUGCUUUCAAAACUGUUUUUCUUGAGUAGUGCAGAGGUAGGCGGAAUUCCCGGUGUAGCGGUGGAAUGCGUAGAUAUCGGGAGGAACACCAGUGGCGAAGGCGGCCUACUGGGCACCAACUGACGCUGAGGCUCGAAAGUGUGGGUAGCAAACAGG